GUGCUCGCUUCGGCAACACACAUACUAAAAUUGGAACAAUACAGAGAUUAGCAUGGCCCCUGUGCAAGGAUGACACUCAAAUUCAUGAAGCGUUCCAUAUUUAA